AUCCUAGGUCUCUGGGCUAUCCAGU
rnacentral:piRNA from 1 species